rnacentral:rRNA from 1 species
UAGGGAAUAUUGGUAAUCUGGGAAACCGGGAACCAGCAACGCCGCGUGCGCAAUGAAGGCCUUCGGGUUGUAAAGCGCUUUUUGGGAGGAUGAGGAAGGACAGUACUCUUAGAAUAAGCCUCGGCUAACUACGUGCCAGCAGCCGCGGUAAAACGUAGGAGGCGAGCGUUAUCCGGAUUUACUGGGCGUAAAGCGUGUGUAGGCGGUUUGAUAAGUUGGACGUGAAAGCUCCUGGCUUAACUGGGAGAGGUCGUUCAAAACUAUCAGACUUGAGAGUGGUAGAGGGAGGUGGAAUUCCGCAUGUAGUGGUGAAAUGCGUAGAUAUCCGGAGGAACACCAGUGGCGAAAGCGGCCUCCUGGCCCAUUUCUGACGCUCAGACACGAAAGCUAAGGUAGCAAACA